GACGAACGCUGGCGGCGUGCUUAACACAUGCAAGUCGAACGGAAAGGCUCUAGCUUUCUGGGGUACACGAGUGGCGAACGGGUGAGUAACACGUGGGUGACCUGCCCUUCACUUCGGGAUAAGCCUGGGAAACUGGGUCUAAUACCGGAUAGGAUCUCGUGCUGCAUACUGUGGUGUAAAGAUUUUCCGGUGUGGGAUGGGCCCGCGGCCUAUCAGCUCGUUGGUGGGGUGAUGGCCCACCAAGGCGGCGACGGGUAGCCGGCCUGAGAGGGUGGACGGCCACAUUGGGACUGAGACACGGCCCAGACUCCUACGGGAGGCAGCAGUGGGGAAUAUUGCACAAUGGGCGGAAGCCUGAUGCAGCGACGCCGCGUGGGGGAUGACGGCCUUCGGGUUGUAAACUACUUUCGCCGUCGACGAAGGGUUUCUGACGGUAAAUGGAGAAGAAGCACCGGCUAACUACGUG
rnacentral:rRNA from 1 species